AACGUAGGUGGCGAGCGUUAUCCGGAUUUACUGGGCGUAAAGGGUGUGCAGGCGGGCUGUUAAGUGGUGCAUGAAAUCUCCGCGCUUAACGUGGAGAGGCUGUGCCAGACUGGCAGUCUAGAGUACGAGAGAGGGUUGUGGAAUUCCGGGUGUAGUGGUGAAAUGCGUAGAGAUCCGGAGGAACACCAGAGGCGAAGGCGGCUCACUGGUCCGGUACUGACGCUGAGGUGCGAAAGCGUGGGGAGCAAACAGG
rnacentral:rRNA from 1 species